UAUAUCUGAGAGAGUCAACAGACAACUCAAGUUACUGGAGUCUGAAGAGUCGACUCGGGGGAAGGACUUGAGUUCGGAACUCGGAGUGGUAUUUUUAGAAGUUUCCUCCAAUGUGACCUCCUACUGUCGAGCUGUCAUCUCAACCUCAGGACCAACAUCACAGUUUUCUUGAGAUCUGUUCCGACCGAGUCUGGAGGAAGCCCUUUCUAGAGAUCUAGGAAGUACUGACGACACCUCAUUCCUGAGUAGCAGUACAGUCCAGGCCCCCAGUCUAGGGGUGGUGGUGUAUCAACUCCGUCAGUGUGCCAACCACUUCAUGUCUGUGUACGAGAGUCACAAACAACAUCUACGUAAGCUACAGAGUCUGGCUGAUCUUAGUACAGACGACCUCAAACAGUUUUCUGGAGUAGAAGAGAAGCUCACAUCUCAUCAGAGACAGAAACUCGCUAGAACUCGCCUCACCAAAAUCGUGCAUUACGAAGAGGAACAACUGCAGUACCUAGCUUACAUCUUGGAGAACUGUCUGUUUAUGUUGUGACGCCACCUGGAGUAUUAUCUCAUUCACUGCGUUCCUGUCAAUCAGCAGAAAUCUACGUACCAGAGUCAGACUCGCAGACACACGCAACUUAGGAGGCUUCAAGAUUUGACAGGGAUUUCUCAUUCAUCAUUUGGAGAAUCUGAUGUCGACUCUCUGCCAGACAUAGAUAGACAGCUUAUGAUGGGGGUGACCAGUGAAGAUAUAGAGACAUUGAAACAGACAGCAAACUCAGCCAUACACGACUCACUCCUCGAAAAGAUACAAAAGAUUGACACGGAAUACUGUAAGUCCAGGACCCACUACAGCUUUGUGGAGGCCCUCAUAAGGAGAGUAAGGAGA